UACGUAGGGUGCAAGCGUUAAUCGGAAUUACUGGGCGUAAAGCGUGCGCAGGCGGUUGUGCAAGACAGAUGUGAAAUCCCCGGGCUCAACCUGGGAAUUGCAUUUGUGACUGCACGGCUAGAGUGUGUCAGAGGGGCGUAGAAUUCCACGUGUAGCAGUGAAAUGCGUAGAGAUGUGGAGGAAUACCGAUGGCGAAGGCAGCCCCCUGGGAUAACACUGACGCUCAUGCACGAAAGCGUGGGGAGCAAACAGG
rnacentral:rRNA from 1 species